CCUACGUGUGGCAGCAGUGCGGAAUAUUGGUCAAUGGGCGCGAGCCUGAACCAGCCAAGUAGCGUGAAGGAUGAAUGCCCUCCGGGUUGUAAACUUCUUUUAUAAAGGAAUAAAGUGAGGCACGUGUGCCUUUUUGUAUGUACUUUAUGAAUAAGGAUCGGCUAACUCCGUGCCAGCAGCCGCGGUAAUACGGAGGGUCCGAGCGUUAUCCGGAUUUAUUGGGUUUAAAGGGAGCGUAGAUGGGUUGUUAAGUCAGUUGUGAAAGUUUGCGGCUCAACCGUAAAAUUGCAAUUGAUACUGGCAGGCUUGAGUAUAGUUGAGGUAGGCAGAAUUCGUGGUGUAGCGGUGAAAUGCGUAGAGAUCACGAAGAACUCCGAUUGCGAAGGCAGCUUACUAAACUGCCACUGACAUUGAGGCGCGAAAGUGUGGGUAUCAAACAGGAUUAGAUACCCCGGUAGUC
rnacentral:rRNA from 1 species